CCAUUUAGUUACAGCAACCCUUACACAGAUUAAAAUGAUAGCAACACAUGGGCUCCAAUAGCAAAGCGGCUCGCAUGCAGCUGGCCGGCUUCCCGGAGCCCAGGGAACAGGCGAGGCAGACCCAAGUCCCUUCGUAAUUAAAAACAGAAAAGCAACAAGAAGCUUUCUUUCAUUAGAGCCGAACAAGCAGGUUGUAUACUCACAGCAGGGUCUGGAUCGGACCUGCCCUGUCUCGCUGCCAUAGUCCAGCACUUGAGCUGAAAUCCGAGCCCUGUCUCCCUUCUCUGGCUCCCCCCCACCCCACCCCCCCAACCUUACUUAUCUAUUGCCCCAGCUUUGCCAGAGCCUGUAAGUUACAUCUCGAGAGCCAGUAAGUUACAUGGCAUUCUAGCUAAAAAUACAGGCUUCUUCCUCCCGGCUCCAGUGCACCACAGAGACCCUGCGCUGGCCAGCUACUAAUGGAAUUUCUUCAUUUUCUCUCCAUUAUUAUGUCAGACGGGAUAGUUAAUACGGAGCCGUCUCCGGAGGGAAGCAGACUGCUGCCAAGAGAAGGGGGUGGGUCAGAGCUGCAGGUGCUGUCCUGAAAAUGGGAGAGAGGAAAAGUCCGGCAGAUGCAUAAAGAAAUCAUAUACGUCCAAUGGAGAAGUCGAGUCCCGAGCUGCAUGGCUUUCCUGCAUGUCUCCUUCCUACACACCCUAAAUGACAGAAUCAAGGGGCCCUGGAGUCUGCAAAGAUGCCCAGGACUUGACAGGGAGUUGGAACCCAAUGGUAUUCCAUAUGAAGACCGAUGCCAAAACAACCCUUGGAAAGCAAAGAGUUAACAGAUUCCCAGCUUGUACACCAAUACUAGUCCAUUAGUUCCAGGAAGAAUUAUCAAAUACUCUACUGCCUGACUUUUUCUACAUCUGAUGAGUAAUGCUCUGAGCCUACACUUUUCUCAGUAUGGAAAAACACCCUCUGGUCUCAGUGUCCUGAGAGAAGGUUGCUAUUUUUAUGGGAUCUGUCAGUAAAUAAAGUCUGAUUGAAGACAG